GUGGGAGUAAUCAUUACUAGUUUUGGACAUUUUCUCCUUGUGCUUUGUUACUGUGAAUUAGCUAGUUUUUUCAUAUUGAUUAUCAUGGAAUGCCCCAUUUUGGUUGUCUAGUCUGAUUCAGUGUUUUUAAUCUCUAGGAUAUUUUUAUUGAAUUCAAGUCUUAUGAUAAUGACAAUCCAAACGGUCUAAUAUUAUGUAGUUGAGAGGUUUUUAAAAAAACUAGCUAAUUCACA
rnacentral:misc_RNA from 1 species